AAGAGCUAGUGCUAACUUUCCUUUUACAGAUGUGGGAACAGAGGCCUAUGGGAGUAGUUGACUUGUCCAAAGACUCAGAGCUAGUGACUGAUGAAGUUGGGACUCAAAUCCUACAUUCUACCUCUUAAACCAGGAAACUUCCCUCUACACCCCACUGCUUCUGAAGAGGCUCCAAAGGGCUGGACAGGUGCACAGCAUUCCCCCAAGUGAUGAAGCAGAGCAUAGGUAAGUCGUCAGACAGCGCAGUCACCAGUCACCAGAAAAUGACUGAAGGCAGCACUCUUUCUUCAUAUGUGGC
rnacentral:lncRNA from 1 species